CAGAGCGUGGUCUAGUGGUUAGGACUCCUCAUUUACACUGAGGCGAUCCCCGGUUCGAUCCCGGGCGUUCUGA
rnacentral:tRNA from 1 species